rnacentral:rRNA from 1 species
UGGGGAAUAUUGCACAAUGGGCGCAAGCCUGAUGCAGCCAUGCCGCGUGUGUGAAGAAGGCCUUCGGGUUGUAAAGCACUUUCAGCGAGGAGGAAGGUGGUGAACUUAAUACGUUCAUCAAUUGACGUUACUCGCAGAAGAAGCACCGGCUAACUCCGUGCCAGCAGCCGCGGUAAUACGGAGGGUGCAAGCGUUAAUCGGAAUUACUGGGCGUAAAGCGCACGCAGGCGGUUUGUUAAGUCAGAUGUGAAAUCCCCGGGCUCAACCUGGGAACUGCAUUUGAAACUGGCAAGCUAGAGUCUCGUAGAGGGGGGUAGAAUUCCAGGUGUAGCGGUGAAAUGCGUAGAGAUCUGGAGGAAUACCGGUGGCGAAGGCGGCCCCCUGGANGAAGACUGACGCUCAGGUGCGAAAGCGUGGGGAGCAAACAGAUUAGNUACCCUGGUAGUCACGCUGUAAACGAUGU